GCUGUGUGUCAUCACCCUUCUCUCUGCCACCUUUCCUGUCAAUCCACUGUCACUAUGAAAUAAAAGGGCCCAACAAAAAUUAUC